rnacentral:snoRNA from 1 species
AGCCCUCAGGGUCACACCUGGAAAGUUUCCAGUUCUCUACCAGUCUUGACUACAGAAGGGAGAGUCAAGCAGAAGUCUACCCAUUCCAUUCCUAGCUUGGCCAGUGGCUAGCGAGUGGAAGGCCAUCUGCUACAAGU